UACGUAGGGCGCAAGCGUUGUCCGGAAUUAUUGGGCGUAAAGAGCUCGUAGGUGGUUUGUUACGUCUGCUGUGAAAACCUAGGGCUUAACCCUGGGCCUGCAGUGGAUACGGGCAGACUAGAGGUAGGUAGGGGAGAAUUGAAUUCCUGGUGUAGCGGUGGAAUGCGCAGAUAUCAGGAGGAACACCGGUGGCGAAGGCGGGUCUCUGGGCCGAUACUGACACUGAGAAGCGAAAGCGUGGGGAGCGAACAGG
rnacentral:rRNA from 1 species